rnacentral:tRNA from 1 species
UGAGACGUAGCCAAGAGGUAAGGCAGCAGGUUUUGGUCCCGCAAAUCAAAGGUUCGAACCCUUUCGUCUCAU